UACAGCUACCCAUCCUUCUAAUGGAGCUUUCUGGGCUAUCACACACCUCAAUCUCCCUUCUCUCAUUUUCCCUUUCUCUUUCUCUUGUUUCUCUCUCUCUCAAAAAUCUUUGUUCAGAUUUUUUUAUUUAUGCUCCGUUGAAGAUUUAAAGAUUGAAGGGGUUUUCAAAAUUCACAAAUCUCUCAAUUCCUCAAGUUGAACAUCAUUUUAAAACUAGAGAAAUAAACACAACAAGAAGAGUGAAAAUCAUUCGAUUUUCACCAUCUGAAAAGCAAAAAAAGAAAAGAAAAAACACAUGCACAUCUGAAAAUUUUCAACGAUGAUAGAUACCGACAGAGAGGGGGAUACGAAAUCUGAAAAAUUUUGUGGGUAAGCUUUUAAUGAAAAGCAUCUGAGAUUUGAAACCUCAAUGACGGAAAAAGCUCACUGAUUUCGAACUUGAUUUGAAAAUCGAAAAUUGAAAACAAUUGAUUUUCUUGCAAGCACACGAUAGGGUCAUCAAUGUUUGGCGUUGUGAUGCUGCAUAGUUGCAGAGUGGUGUGGUGAUGCUGCACAAUUGCAUAGUGAGAGAAGAGCCAGAGAGAAAAGGAAGAGGCAGGUAAGUCACUGUUGUAUUUUUCCAAGUUGGCUUCUUUUUUUUUAAUCGUUGGAUCAGUUUGCUUCCAAGUGUCAUUCAUCUAUCUAAAAACGGGAGGAAACAGGGGAAAUAAAAACCGGAGGUGAGCCGCUCCC